rnacentral:rRNA from 1 species
UGGCGGACGGGUGAGUAAUGUCUGGGAAACUGCCCGAUGGAGGGGGAUAACUACUGGAAACGGUAGCUAAUACCGCAUAACGUCGCAAGACCAAAGAGGGGGACCUUCGGGCCUCUUGCCAUCGGAUGUGCCCAGAUGGGAUUAGCUAGUAGGUGGGGUAAAGGCUCACCUAGGCGACGACCCCUAGCUGGUCUGAGAGGAUGACCAGCCACACUGGAACUGAGACACGGUCCAG